rnacentral:rRNA from 1 species
UACGGGGGGGGCAAGCGUUGUUCGGAAUUACUGGGCGUAAAGGGUUCGUAGGUGGCCAACUAAGUCAGACGUGAAAUCCCCAGGCUCAACCUGGGAACUGCGUCUGAUACUGGAUGGCUUGAAUUCGGGAGAGGGAUGCAGAAUUCCAGGUGUAGCGGUGAAAUGCGUAGAUAUCUGGAGGAAUACCGGUGGCGAAGGCGGCAUCCUGGACCGACAUUGACGCUGAUGAGCGAAAGCUAGGGGAGCAAACGGGG